rnacentral:rRNA from 1 species
UACGGAGGGUGCGAGCGUUGUUCGGAAUCACUGGGCGUAAAGGGCGUGUAGGCGGUCCGCUAAGUCUGAUGUGAAAGCCCGGGGCUCACCCCCGGAAGGGCAUUGGAAACUGGCGGACUCGAGUCCCGGAGAGGAAGGUGGAAUUCCUGGUGUAGCGGUGAAAUGCGUAGAUAUCAGGAGGAACACCAAUAGCGAAGGCAGCUCGCUGGGACGUUACUGACACUGAGGCGCGAAAGCGUGGGGAGCGAACAGG